rnacentral:lncRNA from 1 species
GGGAUUUUAAGGCAGUUUGCAUUCCACACUGACACUAGAGUUUAAAGGUUUUCAGAUUUCAAAGAUACGACUGUGAGGGUAAGUUUAUGGGUUGGGCACCAACACUUCCCUGUAUGAAUUAUCGCUGAUUGCCUAACCUUGCGCUGCGACUGGUGGAGCCUUGCUGGAGUGCUGUAAUUCUCAUGCUCGACAGGAGGCUCGGUGUUCACCAAAUCCCAGUGGUACUCAGCCGAAUUGAUGAAAUGACCGGGAAGGCCUAAUUAAAGCUGCUCAGCUCAAAUGUAUUGAUGUAUUACAUCUAUUACGGCUUGGUUCAAUAGGUCCACCCUGUGAAUGCUGCCACAGCCUGUAAAGCAAACUAAACAGAUUGAAUAAAUAAUGCUGCAAGGAAAGGAGACAGCAAAAAAAAAAAUCAAAGCAACAGAGCACAAAAUGCAACAGGGGGAUCUGUGAACUUUUUAUUGUAUGAGACACUGUAAAUUAUUUUAAUCUUUAUCUUUUUACAUGUUGAACAGCAAAAGGAAUAUUAGGAUCUACAAUAAUCUUUCAAUAUAUUCAAGAGCUGGUAAAUCCUCUCUUCCAGUAAACACGCAGACAGAAUUAGACAACUGUAAUAUGAACAACUUGCUGAUGCUGAAAAUAAGGAAGAAUGGAUUUCUUAAAAAGAAGAAGCCUAAAAAUCAUCAAAGACUUUUUUGUACAAUUAAGUAUCAAAAUUAUAGGAAAUUAUGCCUUCCAGAUUCAUGUUCGACAACUGAACUCACACUGAACCUCAGGUAUGUUUUUCUUGACAUCUGCGCUUAGAUGUUUAAAAGAUAUCUCAGACAUUCAAAAGUCAGCUCCUAGGUUUUCUCCCCCCAUACCCACUUCAAAUCUGUCUCUUUUUCCUAUUGCCCAUCUGAGCAAAUGGUAACUUCAAUUUUCCACUUGCUAAGACUCAAAUUAUUGGAAUUUUUGUCUCUUUUCUUUCUAUUACUCAAUCAAACGUAUUGGUGAACCCUAUUAGUUUUACUUUCUAAAUAUAUUCCAAAGUAAUCCACUUAUCACCUCUACUUUUACCUUUCUGGUCCAAAACAUGAUUAUUUUUACUUGUAAUGCUAUCAUAGCUUCUAGGUUUCUUCCAUAUUUUCCUUCUCAUUAUUCUCUGAUUGCCCUACUUAACCACUUCAUAUGUUCUUUAUAUUGGAAAGGUUGGUUCAUUAAGAAUUGUACACUUUUAUACUUAG